ACGCUUCGUCGCGUACUGAGUCGGCCACGACAAGUAAAGACCCCUAAAGUGUUGAAAUCAACUAGCAAAGCUCAACCUCAUCCUUCACGAAACCAAACAGAAGAAUGCAAAGUAAUAAAAGGUUUGAGGGGUUUUCCAGGAACUUGCUAUGUUCAUACCCCGAAGCCCCCAAGUUUCUUCCAAUAAGCGGUAUAUAAAAAAACCACUACUACCCCAGGGUUUAAAAGAGAUGAACCGUGACAAAAGUAUAGACAAACCAAUGAAGCCGCGAAGGCGUCAACGUCUUCCUCAAAGACUUAGAAACGAUGGUGGCGGUGGCGGUGGCCACCAUAUUCCGGUGCUUGGCCUAUGUCGCUUUAUUCUCGGGGUCAUCCUCUUGUCCUUGGUCUUGUUUCUCUUCUUUUAUUUCAUUUUAGCAGUAUGAGAAAGGAAUCUUAUUACUGCUAUUAUGGGAAAAAAAAAAAAAAAAAAACAACGCAAGAAUAAAGAUCUUUGUGAUAAUUGGACUGGUGGAUCAAGUUCCAUGCACUUUCAAAAAAUUAAGAAUUGAGAGGAGAGAGGACAGCAGGUUUCAAUUUCAAAACGUCAAAUUGUGUAGGUGGUGGGUGUGGGGGGCCUUCUAGGGCGGCAACAAGGUUAGCUAGAUUGAUACAUACGAAAGUGUAUGGACCUUGAUCCACUAGAUACCAUUCAAGUAUAUUACAUAUAGAUUUGGUGAUUUGUGUAUGUAUUUGGUUUACUGGUUUUAGUUAUUAAUUCAGCAGCUUUUCAAUGAGGAUUCACUUUA